rnacentral:rRNA from 1 species
UGGGGAAUUUUGCACAAUGGGGGAAACCCUGAUGCAGCGACGCCGCGUGAUUUAGAAGGCCUUCGGGUUGUAAAAAUCUUUUCUAUGGGAAGAAAAUGACAGUACCAUAGGAAUAAGGACCGGCUAAUUACGUGCCAGCAGCCGCGGUAAUACGUAAGGUCCGAGCGUUGUCCGGAAUCAUUGGGCGUUAAGGGUACGUAGGCGGGUAAGCAAGUUAGAAGUGAAAUCCUAUAGCUCAACUAUAGUAAGCUUUUAAAACUGCUCAUCUUGAGGUAUGGAAGGGAAAGUGGAAUUCCUAGUGUAGCGGUGAAAUGCGCAGAUAUUAGGAGGAAUACCGGUGGCGAAGGCGACUUUCUGGCCAUAACCUGACGCUGAGGUACGAAAGCGUGGGUAGCAAACAGG